UUUGAAAAGAAAAAAGCGUAACAAGGUUUCCGUAGGUGAACCUGCGGAAGGAUCAUUAC
rnacentral:rRNA from 1 species